rfam:Ipomoea nil DNA, scaffold: scaffold2694, cultivar: Tokyo-kokei standard.
UCCGUUGUCGGCCAGCGAUUAGGAUAUCUGGCUUUCACCUUGGAGACCCGGGUUCGAUUCCCGGCAACGGAA